GAAGCAUUUUAAAGGUGUUGUUUCGCAAUUGGCAUUCUAGCAACAUAAAGUAGGCCUGCAGUUAACGCAGUUUGAAAUACAUGGUGCGAAAAAUCUACAAACUACUGUAGGUCGGGCGUGUGCUCACCUGUUUGUUGCCAACCCAGACACGCCCAUAUGUACCUGUUUGACGCCUGCAUACCUCAUGUGUACAUACAAGACGUCCUGUUUCCUGUUGUUUCGUUUAUCAACCCGCUGAUAUCCUGCUGAGGAUAUUUGUUACAGAAAAGAGGGGACACACAUCCUACAAGGUAAAUAAACUUGCCCUUCAACAAUACUUGAUAUUUGAGUCUAAAAGUACAGUAUUGUGCUGCUUUAUCUAUAUCCUUUAUGUCAUUUUUUAUUGAAAUCUCAAGUAGCAAGUAGACUGGGAUCUGUGCAGUGGUUUGUUGUGAGUUUGUGUAGUUGUUACAUUAUGAUAUAGGAUUAUCUAUAUAGUUUUGAGUAUUUGGUCGAGUAUCUUUCCCAAAGGUACAUGUUAUAUAGUUUUACCUUUAUAGUAGCCUACAUCUCAACCAGUUGCCCAGUGAGACUUAUACAACAGACUCAGCUGCUCCACUAAAACCCAGUAGACUGCUGCUCCACUAUAACCCCAGUAGACUGCUGCUCCACUAUAACCCAGGAGACUGUUGCUCCACUAUAACCCAGUAGACUGUUGCUCCACUAUAACCCCAGUAGACUGUUGCUCCUCUAUAACCCCAGUAGACUGCUGCUCCACUAUAACCCCAGGAGACUGUUGCUCCGCUAUAACCCAGUAGAAUCCGCACUGCUUCUUGACACCAAUGUUUCGGAGAAAACACUGUCCACCUGACGACCAAAGUCAGCUUGAUGGCGCCCGGCCCGCCAGAAGGAGUCACUAGAGCACAAUGAGUCAAGGACACAGCCUUGGUUCAAACCAAAAAUGUUUGUCCCAUUUUGUAAAUUAUUGGUUGGUGAGCGGACCCCAGACCUCACAACCAUAAAGGGCAGUGGGUUCUGUAACUGAUUCAAUGAUUUUUUUGCCAGGUCCUAAUUGGGAUGUUGAAUUUUAUGUUCCUUUUGACAGUGUAUUCUCUCAGAUUGUUCACAGCUUUGUGGAAUUCUCUCUUUCUCUCUAUAUUUCUCUCUCGCUCUCUCUCUCACUCCAUCUGCCUCUUUCUCUCUCUUUCUCCUCUCUCUCUCUCGCACACACUCUGCCUCUCUCUCAAUUCAAUUCAAGGGGCUUUAUUGGCAUGGGAAACAUAUGUUAACAUUGCCUCUCCCUCGCUCUCGCUCUCGCUCUCUCUCUCCCUGUCUUUCUUUCUCUGACACUCCUCUCUCUGUCUCUCUCUCUCUCUCUGUCUCUCUCUCUCUCUCUCUCUCUCUCUCUCUCUCUCAGAUAGAAUCUAAAGGGAUAAGGGAGAGAGAGAAAAUCAACAUUUACUCAGCCCUUUGAAUACAAGAAUGCAUUUGUUCACUGUCAAAGAUGAGAAAUUAAUCUGUUCAAUUCCCGGCGAAUGAAGCAAUUUGUCUCCAUUUUCUCCAGCCCUGUGCCAUUGCUAACCCUUCCUGUCAUCUCCAUAGAUUAAAUUCCUCAGCAGUUGGAGAAGAAAACUUGGCCUUUUUCCUUCUGGAGGAAUUGAAGAAACUGCAUGUUGUAUCAGACUACUGUAUCAGGAGACUACUGUAUCAGGAGACUACUGUAUCAGACCACUGUAUCAGACUACUGUAUCAGGAGACUACUGUAUCAGACUACUGUAUCAGGAGACUACUGUAUCAGGAGACUACUGUAUCUGGAGACCACUGUAUCAGACCACUGUAUCAGACAACUGUAUCAGGAGACUACUGUAUCAGGAGACUACUGUAUCAGACCACUACUACUGUAGACUACUGUAUCAGACUACUGUAUCAGGAGACUACUGUAUCAGGAGACUACUGUAUCAGACCACUGUAUCAGACUACUGUAUCAGGAGACUACUGUAUCAGACCACUGUAUCAGGAGACUACUGUAUCAGACUACUGUAUCAGACUACUGUAUCAGGAGACUACUGUAUCAGGAGACUACUGUAUCAGACUACUGUAUCAGCAUUGAAUUCCCACUAACCCUAAUCUGAUCCACUUUUUGCAGACACUCACUACUGUUAGCAGAUGUUUGUACUCGUUAUGCAGAUAAGGAUAAUUCAUCUAAAUUACUCAGUAAUUCAUGUUUUAAUCCGCUGAAAAUUGCAUUCUGUAAAUGUGCCUUACACUGGAAUAUUGUAGCAUUGUGAUUUUCCCAUUUUACCCAAUCCAAGGAAAGAAGAUCUUAUUCGGGAAAAUAAGGAAUGUUUUUGUUCUAAAUAAAUCAAUAUUUUUAUUCGGUAAA
ensembl:lncRNA